CGUCCUACGGGAGAAAGCAGGGGAUCUUCGGACCUUGCGCUAAUAGAUGAGCCUAAGUCGGAUUAGCUAGUUGGUGGGGUAAAGGCCUACCAAGGCGACGAUCUGUAGCGGGUCUGAGAGGAUGAUCCGCCACACUGGGACUGAGACACGGCCCAGACUCCUACGGGAGGCAGCAGUGGGGAAUAUUGGACAAUGGGGGGAACCCUGAUCCAGCCAUGCCGCGUGUGUGAAGAAGGCCUUAUGGUUGUAAAGCACUUUAAGCGAGGAGGAGGCUACUUUAGUUAAUACCUAGAGAUAGUGGACGUUACUCGCAGAAUAAGCACCGGCUAACUCUGUGCCAGCAGCCGCGGUAAUACAGAGGGUGCGAGCGUUAAUCGGAUUUACUGGGCGUAAAGCGUGCGUAGGCGGCUUAUUGAGUCGGAUGUGAAAUCCCCGAGCUUAACUUGGGAAUUGCAUUCGAUACUGGUGAGCUAGAGUAUGGGAGAGGAUGGUAGUAUUCCAGGUGUAGCGGUGAAAUGCGUAGAGAUCUGGAGGAAUACCGAUGGCGAAGCAGCCAUCUGGCCUAAUACUGACGCUGAUGUACGAAAGCAUGGGGAGCNCNNAUGAUUAGAUACCCUGGUAGUCCAUGCCGUAAACGAUGUCUACUAGCCGUUGGGGCCUUUGAGGCUUUAGUGGCGCAGCUAACGCGAUAAGUA
rnacentral:rRNA from 1 species